AUUGAACGCUGGCGGCAGGCCUAACACAUGCAAGUCGAGCGGAUGAAGGGAGCUUGCUCCUGGAUUCAGCGGCGGACGGGUGAGUAAUGCCUAGGAAUCUGCCUGGUAGUGGGGGAUAACGUCCGGAAACGGGCGCUAAUACCGCAUACGUCCUGAGGGAGAAAGUGGGGGAUCUUCGGACCUCACGCUAUCAGAUGAGCCUAGGUCGGAUUAGCUAGUUGGUGGGGUAAAGGCCUACCAAGGCGACGAUCCGUAACUGGUCUGAGAGGAUGAUCAGUCACACUGGAACUGAGACACGGUCCCGACUCCUACGGGAGGCAGCAGUGGGGAAUAUUGGACAAUGGGCGAAAGCCUGAUCCAGCCAUGCCGCGUGUGUGAAGAAGGUCUUCGGAUUGUAAAGCACCUUAAGUUGGGAGGAAGGGCAGUAAGUUAAUACCUUGCUGUUUUGACGUUACCAACAGAAUAAGCACCGGCUAACUUCGUG
rnacentral:rRNA from 1 species